CGACUCUCGGCAACGGAUAUCUCGGCUCUCGCAUCGAUGAAGAACGCAGCAAAAUGCGAUACUUGGUGUGAAUUGCAGAAUCCCGUGAACCAUCGAGUUUUUGAACGCAAGUUGCGCCCGAAGCCGUUAUGCUGAGGGCACGUCUGCCUGGGCGUCACG
rnacentral:rRNA from 14 species